rnacentral:rRNA from 1 species
GGCUAGAGUGCAGGAGAGGAAGGUAGAAUUCCCGGUGUAGCGGUGAAAUGCGUAGAGAUCGGGAGGAAUACCAGUGGCGAAGGCGGCCUUCUGGACUGACACUGACACUGAGGUGCGAAAGCGUGGGUAGCAAACAGGAUUAGAUACCCUGGUAGUCCACGCCGUAAACGAUGUCGACCAGCCGUUGGGUGCCUAGCGCACUUUGUGGCGAAGUUAACGCGAUAAGUCGACCGCCUGGGGAGUACGGCCGCAAGGUUAAAACUCAAAUGAAUUGACGGGGGCCCGCACAAGCGGUGGAGCAUGUGGUUUAAUUCGAUGCAACGCGAAGGACCUUACCUACCCUUGACAUCCUGCGAACCCGGAAGAGAUUCCGGGGUGCCUUCGGGAACGCAGAGACAGGUGCUGCAUGGCUGUCGUCAGCUCGUGUUGUGAAAUGUUGGGUUAAGUCCCGUAACGAGCGCAACCCUUGUCCUUAUUUGCCAGCACGUAAUGGUGGGAACUCUAAGGAGACUGCCGGUGACAAACCGGAGGAAGGUGGGGACGACGUCAAGUCAUCAUGGCCCUUACGGGUAGGGCUACACACGUGCUACAAUGGCCGGUACAAAGGGCUGCGAGCUCGCGAGAGUCAGCGAAUCCCUUAAAGCCGGUCUCAGUCCGGAUCGGAGUCUGCAACUCGACUCCGUGAAGUCGGAAUCGCUAGUAAUCGUGAAUCAGAAUGUCACGGUGAAUACGUUCCCGGGCCUUGUACACACCGCCCGUCACACCAUGGGAGUGGACUGCACCAGAAGUGGUUAGCCUAACGCAAGAGGGCGAUCACCACGGUGUGGUUCAUGACUGGGGUGAAGUCGUAAAAAGGUAACCGUA